rnacentral:rRNA from 1 species
UACGUAGGGCGCGAGCGUUGUCCGGAAUUAUUGGGCGUAAAGAGCUCGUAGGCGGCUUGUCACGUCGGGUGUGAAAGCCCGGGGCUUAACCCCGGGCCUGCAGUGGGUACGGGCAGACUAGAGUGCGGUAGGGGAGACUGGAAUUCCUGGUGUAGCGGUGAAAUGCGCAGAUAUCAGGAGGAACACCGGUGGCGAAGGCGGGUCUCUGGGCCGUAACUGACGCUGAGGAGCGAAAGCGUGGGGAGCGAACAGG